GACGAACGCUGGCGGCGUGCUUAACACAUGCCAGUCGAACGGAAAGGCCCUGCUUUUGUGGGGUGCUCGAGUGGCGAACGGGUGAGUAACACGUGAGUAACCUGCCCUUGACUUUGGGGUAACUUCAGGAAACUGGGGCUAAUACCGGAUAGGAGCUCCUGCUGCAUGGUGGGGGUUGGAGAGUUUCGGCGGUUGGGGAUGGACUCGCGGCUUAUCAGCUUGUUGGGGGGGUAGUGGCUUACCAAGGCUUUGACGGGUAGCCGGCCUGAGAGGGUGACCGGCCACAUUGGGACUGAGAUACGGCCCAGACUCCUACGGGAGGCAGCAGUGGGGAAUAUUGCACAAUGGGCGGAAGCCUGAUGCAGCAACGCCGCGUGCGGGAUGACGGCCUUCGGGUUGUAAACCGCUUUCGCCGGUGACGAAGCGUGAGUGACGGUAAUGUGUAAAGAAGCACCGGCUAACUACGUG
rnacentral:rRNA from 1 species